AUGGCGGUGAAGCGGCAGGCAGCUUGGUGCUUCCUGGCCGUUGUUCUAGUGGUGACUCUCUCAGUGGCGAUGGCGCAGCCGCCGCAGCCAAGGGUGGGCGGGCCGGGGAGAGGCAAACUGCCGCCGGGCAACGGCAGGUUCGAGGCGGUGACAUUCAACAAGUUCCACAAGCGAAAGUACGAGGUGGCGUGCACCGACAACCGCGGCCCUCCUUGCCUCGUCUCCUGCCCAAAAAACUGCCCCAACAAGUGCCUCGCCUAUUGCAGCUACUGCAUGACCUUCUGCAUGUGUGAUCUGUUCCCGGGUCAGUCGUGCGGGGACCCGCGGUUCACAGGGGGCGACGGCAACACCUUCUAUUUCCACGGCAAGAAGGACCAGGACUUCUGUAUCGUCUCUGACAAGGACCUCCACAUCAACGCACACUUCAUCGGCAACCACAACCCGGAUAUGAAGCGUGACUUCACAUGGGUGCAGGCCCUCGGCAUCACCUUCGGCGAUGGCCACCGCCUCUAUGUCGGUGCCCGAAAGGCUGUUCAGUGGGACGAGGAGGAGGACCACGUCCAGAUCGCCCUUGACGGCGAGCCCGUGGAGGUCGAGGCCGCUAAGAAUGCACGGUGGUUAUCCAAGGCCAUGCCCGGACUCUCCAUCACGCGUACCGACACGGUGAACACCAUCGUCGUGGAGCUAGAUGGUGUGUUCAGCAUCUCGGCCAACGCCGUGCCCAUCACCGAUGAGGAUUCCCGGGUCCAUAGCUAUGGCAAGACUGAGGAGGACAGCCUCGUGCACCUCGACCUCGGGUUCAAGUUCUACGACCUCACCAAUGACGUGGAUGGUGUGCUCGGCCAGACCUACCGCUCCGACUACAUCAGCAAGGUCAACGUCACGGCCAAGAUGCCUAUCAUGGGCGGCGCACCCAAGUACCUCUCAGCCGGCCUCUUCUCCACAGACUGUGCUGUCUCCCAGUACCACCGCAGCGGCGCCAGCUCAGUCGAGACAUUUGCGUUAUAA
rnacentral:rRNA from 1 species